ACUUCAGUAAGUCCAAGCUUUCACGAUAUUUUUGGAGGUAACCAUCUCUUUGAUAAAUACUUACCUCUUACUGUUAUAUUUUAUUAUAUUAAUAUUUUUAUUUUAAUUUAAGAGAAAGAGCAAAAUGAAAGAGAAAAAAUACCUGUAAGAGGAAAUUGUUAAUUAUUCCAAGAGAUGGAGUUCCUCCGAAAUAUCGAUAAAGUGAAACUUACUGAAUUGAAAUCAAUCAAGAUUCAGUAAAACAAUCCGAUUUGAGCUGUUGUUAGUGACAAAUGUCCAAUUGAUGAUUACCAGACAUUUAAUACUGAUUUGGAAAGCUAUUUUUAUCACAAAUCAAUGGAAAUGAACUGCUCCUUAAAGAUCAGGAUUCCCAAAGUUUCAAGGAUCAAGCUACUAAUGACAAUUUAUGGCAAAAACAAUACUAAUUACGUUUUUACCUUUACAAAGUUAAAGAUGGAUCCAUACAGUCGAGUACCUGAAAUUGUCUAAUGUUUCAGACACAUAAUUUGAAAAUACUAAUUUCCUAUCAAAUUAACUGUUGAUUAAUUUUUAGAUCGCCUCCUACUCAAAGUGUAGUUUUUGGCUGACUUUAGGAAUUCAGAAAAUGAAAAAUUAACACUGAAAUGGAUUGUUAUUUAAUUUUUUGAGCUAAAUUGCAAGAUUAUUUCAAUCGAUACGAGAUGAAAACUAGUGAAUGGACAAUUUUAGGUAAUGACAAUUUCAGGGACUCGAUUGUAUUACGUUUUAAUAUUUAUAAAGCAAGACUGUUGAGACUACCUUGAAAGUGUAUUGAGUUAUUAUUUAUUUCUGUGUGAAAUAAAUGAAAUGAUUUUGAUUAGAAGAGAGAAAGAGUUAAAGAAAGAAGAUGAUAACCUUGGUGUGUUAGUGACUAUCGAUUAGUUGUAUGUUCAAAGUUGCACUGUACAUACGCACUUGGUAUAUAUUGAGAUUUGCUUCUACCUUCACUUGCCUUGUGUGUUACAUGAAAGGAUUGUGAAGGAUAAAUGAGAAGCAAAUUGAACUUCUAUGAACCUUGUGAACCAUAAUGUUGUCCCUGAAAACGCUUCCUAUGAACCAGUUUCAUUGGAAAUAUCAGAUAAUUGACCUUGACUUUUAUUCUUUCCAUUCAUUUCAGGGUCACUUUAACCCUGAAACACGAUUCUAUGGCAAUGGAAGCAUCAAGCUCAUGCUCAACUCUUUUCUUCCAUGGUCAUGAACAAAGUAAAGAAACAUUCAAGCCAAAGACUUUACCGUUGCGGAAACGUUUCUAACAGUUGAUGAAACUAUGAAAUGCUAAUGAUUCAUUUUGAUUAUGUUUAGUUUCAUUGUUUUCAAUUUUGAUAUUCAUUUGAUGCCUACUCACUCGGCUAAUUUCAAUGUAAUUCAAUCAAUGGAAAGUUGAGAAAUUAAAGUAUCGUCUGAAAUUGAUAAAGAAA